rnacentral:rRNA from 1 species
AGUAGGUAGUUUAACCUUCGGGGGGACGCUUACCACUUUGUGGUUCAUGACUGGGGUGAAGUCGUAACAAGGUAGCGCUAGGGGAACCUGGCGCUGGAUCACCUCCUUAAACGAUGAU